UGGGGAAUCUUGCACAAUGGGGGAAACCCUGAUGCAGCGACGCCGCGUGAGCGAUGAAGGUUUUCGAAUCGUAAAGCUCUGUCCUAUGGGAAGAUAAUGACGGUACCAUAGGAGGAAGCCCCGGCUAACUACGUGCCAGCAGCCGCGGUAAUACGUAGGGGGCGAGCGUUGUCCGGAAUUACUGGGCGUAAAGGGUUCGCAGGCGGCAUGACAAGUCCGAUGUAAAAGGCGAAAGCUCAACUUUCGUAAGCAUCGGAAACUGUCAAGCUUUAGUGAAUGAGAGGCAAGUGGAAUUCCUAGUGUAGCGGUGGAAUGCGUAUAUAUUAGGAGGAAUACCGGUGGCGAAGGCGACUUGCUGGACUUCAACUGACGCUGAGGAACGAAAGCGUGGGUAGCAAACAGG
rnacentral:rRNA from 1 species